UAGUUGCCCAGGCACUUUGUUGACUCUAGAGAACCUCGGGCCAAUCGCACGUCCCCGUGACGAAGACUUUGCAUUCGGAUGUCAUCCAUAUCAACUUUUGAUGCCAGUUUCUGGUGACCACGGAUAACGAGGAAUCAGGGUUGGAUAAUGGAGAGGGAAUCUGAGAAACGGCUACCACAUGCAAGGAAGGCAGCAGGCGCGCAAAUUACCCACUCCCGACGCGGGAAGAUAGUGA